rnacentral:rRNA from 1 species
CAAGGGAAGACCUAGUGGCGAACGGGUGCGUAACACGUGAGGAACUUGUCCCGGUCUCUGGGAUAACAGUUGGAACGACUGCUAAUACCGGAUGACGUCGGAAUCUGCAUGGGAUACUGACGAAAGGGUUACUGGAUCGGGAGAGCCUCGCGGCCUAUCAGCUUGUUGGUGAGGUAACGGCUCACCAAGGCAUCGACGGGUAGCUGGUCUGAGAGGAUGAUCAGCCACACUGGGACUGAGACACGGCCCAGACUCCUACGGGAGGCAGCAGUGGGGAAUCUUGCGCAAUGGGCGAAAGCCUGACGCAGCAACGCCGCGUGCGGGAAGAAGGCCCUCGGGUUGUAAACCGCUUUCAGUAGGAACGAAAAUGACGGUACCUGCAGAAGAAGGUGCGGCCAACUACGUG